rnacentral:lncRNA from 1 species
AAGGACUUUAAUUUUCAGGAUGCUUUGGAAGUGGAUUUCUGUUCUGCUGCUGCUGCAGAUAAGUUGCUGCUUCAGAUCUGCAAAACAUUUAGGGAGAAGAAAUGGGGUCAGUUUUACAGCGAAACUUUAGGCAAAAGAAGAAAGAAAGAUUAGCUACAAACUACCAUGACCCUGGGAAUCCUGGGCAGGGUGCAAAAUAUGUUGUGACAUUUGUACCUGGAAUGUAUGUUUAUGUUUGCAGAGUGUCAUUCGAAGAUUUAGAGAGAAGUAAAAUGCAUACUUAUUCAUACAGUGGCUUUUUCAUUAACUAUGAGGAAAUCAUUAAAUUAAUGAGGAAACAUAUGACAAACCACCUUAACUGAGACAAUGGGCCAAGCAGGAAUGUGGCUUAUGAGAUCCUACUGGGAUUUGGAGUUUCCUCACCCAACCUUACCAAAUGUUGACUAUGUUGGAGGACUCCAUUGCAAACCUGCUAAACCCUUGCCUAAGGUAAAUACAUUCUUUUUUAUCUCUUUUUCAUUUCAUUUUAUUUAUUGUGAAAGUGAUUCUAUAUCUGUCAUUACCUUUUACUCCCCUUAAUACAGAUGUAUGGGAUGUGGAAUUAAGAGUCCUGCUAAGUAGGAAGUCAAUAAACUCAGGAAAGGACAUGAUAGAAUUGGGAAA